rnacentral:rRNA from 1 species
UACGAAGGGUGCAAGCGUUAUUCGGAAUCAUUGGGCGUAAAGCGCGCGCAGGCGGAUCAGCAAGUCAGGUGUGAAAUCUCGAAGCUCAACUUCGAAACCGCGCCUGAAACUGCUAGUCUAGAGUGUCGGAGGGGGUAGGGGAAUUUCACGUGUAGGGGUAAAAUCCGUAGAGAUGUGAAGGAACACCGGGGGCGAAGGCGCCUACCUGGACGACUACUGACGCUGAGGCGCGAAAGCGUGGGGAGCAAACAGG